rnacentral:piRNA from 1 species
UAGCAACUUUGAUAACUUGGUUACCUUGAAA